rnacentral:rRNA from 1 species
UUAGAGUUUGAUCAUGGCUCAGGAUGAACGCUAGCGGCAGGCUUAACACAUGCAAGUCGAGGGGCAGCAUAAUGAAGUAGCAAUACUGAUUUGAUGGCGACCGGCGCACGGGUGCGUAACGCGUAUGUAACCUACCCUUAACAGGGGGAUAACACUGAGAAAUUGGUACUAAUACCCCAUAACAGUUCGGAGGGCAUCCUCUGGAUUUGAAAGUUCCGGCGGUUAAGGAUGGACUCGCGUCUGAUUAGAUAGUUGGUGAGGUAACGGCUCACCAAGUCGACGAUCAGUAGCCGAACUGAGAGGUUGAUCGGCCACAUUGGGACUGAGACACGGCCCAGACUCCUACGGGAGGCAGCAGUGGGGAAUAUUGCGCAAUGGGGGCAACCCUGACGCAGCAACGCCGCGUGAAGGAUGAAGGUCUUCGGAUCGUAAACUUUUGUCUUAUGGGAAGAACAAGGACGGUACCAUAGGAGGAAGCCACGGCUAACUACGUGCCAGCAGCCGCGGUAAUACGUAGGUGGCAGGCGUUGUCCGGAUUUACUGGGUGUAAAGGGCGUGUAGGCGGGUGAGUAAGUCAGAUGUGAAAUACCGAGGCUCAACCUCGGGGCUGCAUUUGAAACUACUUAUCUUGAGUAUCGGAGAGGAAAGCGGAAUUCCCAGUGUAGCGGUGAAAUGCGUAGAUAUUGGGAGGAACACCAGUGGCGAAGGCGGCUUUCUGGACGACAACUGACGCUGAGGCGCGAAAGCGUGGGUAGCAAACAGGAUUAGAUACCCUGGUAGUCCACGCCGUAAACGAUGGAUACUAGGUGUAGGAGGUAUCGACCCCUUCUGUGCCGGAGUUAACACAAUAAGUAUCCCACCUGGGGAGUACGAUCGCAAGAUUGAAACUCAAAGGAAUUGACGGGGGCCCGCACAAGCAGUGGAGUAUGUGGUUUAAUUCGAAGCAACGCGAAGAACCUUACCAGAACUUGACAUCCCCGGAAUCCCUGUGAGAACAGGGAGUGCCUUCGGGAAUCGGGUGACAGGUGGUGCAUGGUUGUCGUCAGCUCGUGUCGUGAGAUGUUGGGUUAAGUCCCGCAACGAGCGCAACCCUUGUUGUUAGUUGCCAUCAUUCAGUUGGGCACUCUAACGAGACUGCCGGCGAUAAGUCGGAGGAAGGUGGGGAUGACGUCAAAUCAUCAUGCCCCUUAUGUUCUGGGCUACACACGUACUACAAUGGCUGAAACAGAGGGAAGCGAAGUCGCGAGGCCAAGCAAAUCCCUAAACACAGUCCCAGUUCAGAUUGCAGGCUGAAACCCGCCUGCAUGAAGUUGGAAUUGCUAGUAAUCGCAGAUCAGAAUGCUGCGGUGAAUACGUUCCCGGGCCUUGUACACACCGCCCGUCACACCAUGAGAGUCGGUAACACCCGAAGCCUGUGAGCUAACCGCAAGGAGGCAGCAGUCGAAGGUGGGAUCGAUAAUUAGGGUGAAGUCGUAACAAGGUAACC